rnacentral:snRNA from 1 species
AGAUAUGAGGCCAAUUUGGCUGCGAUAUCUGUCACUCUACUGAUCUCCACGGUUGAUUUGGCUCAUCUGGUUGACUAGGAGGUUGUCUCCUUUCUCAUCUCUCCAUGUGCAUCCGUCCUAAAGCUGUGAGAUCAGUAGAAAAGGAUAACCCUCCCCAAUAGCAGAGGACAGUUCUUCAGUCAAGAU